GGUGAACCUGCGGAAGGGAUCAUUA
rnacentral:rRNA from 1 species